CAUUAUGAACUUCUGAAAAGUCCUGUCUUGAUGAUUCCCUUAAUCAUUACUUACUUCCUCUGGCUCCUAUUACUCGCAACUCCUUUGUAAAUUCCUAUGCAGCAGGCAACUGAAAAAUAUAUGGGCCAUAUUCAUGAAGACUCUUUUGUAAAUUCCUAAGAAGCAGGCAACUGAAAAAAUAUAUGGGGCAUAUUCAUGAUAAACCAUCAUAACCUAGGAAGCUUGACAUCUUUAGACAAGAUGUAUGUAUGUAUGUAUGUAUAAUAAUAUGGGAUUACGCAAGGAAGGCAACACCAC
rnacentral:lncRNA from 1 species